UUGAAACUCUGGUUCUCAUAAGAUCGAUGAAGUUAAGCAAUGCUGAGCCUGGUUGUACUAAAAUGGGUGACUGGUUGGCAAUACCAGGUGCUGUAUG